CGUCGCUCGCGACGAGUUCUCGCCGGCCUACAGAGGGUGACCGUGCCGCACUGGGACUGAGACACGGCCCAGACUCCUACGGGAGGCAGCAGUGGGGAAUAUUGCACAAUGGGCGAAAGCCUGAUGCAGCGACGCCGCGUGAGGGAUGACGGCCUUCGGGUUGUAAACCUCUUUCAGUAGGGAAGAAGCGAAAGUGACGGUACCUGCAGAAGAAGCGCCGGCUAACUACGUGCCAGCAGCCGCGGUAAUACGUAGGGCGCAAGCGUUAUCCGGAUUUAUUGGGCGUAAAGAGCUCGUAGGCGGUUUGUCGCGUCUGCCGUGAAAGUCCGAGGCUCAACCUCGGAUCUGCGGUGGGUACGGGCAGACUAGAGUGAUGUAGGGGAGACUGGAAUUCCUGGUGUAGCGGUGAAAUGCGCAGAUAUCAGGAGGAACACCGAUGGCGAAGGCAGGUCUCUGGGCAUCUACUGACGCUGAGGAGCGAAAGCAUGGGGAGCGAACAGGAUUAGAUACCCUGGUAGUCCAUGCCGUAAACGUUGGGCACUAGGUGUGGGGAACAUUCCACGUUUUCCGCGCCGUAGCUAACGCAUUAAGUGCCCCGCCUGGGGAGUACGGCCGCAAGGCUAAAACUCAAAGGAAUUGACGGGGCCCGCACAAGCGGCGGAGCAUGCGGAUUAAUUCGAUGCAACGCGAAGAACCUUACCAAGGCUUGACAUGUUCCAGACCGCCUCAGAGAUGGGGUUUCCCUUCGGGGCUGGUUCACAGGUGGUGCAUGGUUGUCGUCAGCUCGUGUCGUGAGAUGUUGGGUUAAGUCCCGCAACGAGCGCAACCCUCGUUCCAUGUUGCCAGCACGUAAAGGUGGGGACUCAUGGGAGACUGCCGGGGUCAACUCGGAGGAAGGUGGGGAUGACGUCAAAUCAUCAUGCCCCUUAUGUCUUGGGCUUCACGCAUGCUACAAUGGCCGGUACAAUGGGUUGCGAUACUGUGAGGUGGAGCUAAUCCCUAAAAGCCGGUCUCAGUUCGGAUUGGGGUCUGCAACUCGACCCCAUGAAGUCGGAGUCGCUAGUAAUCGCAGAUCAGCAACGCUGCGGUGAAUACGUUCCCGGGCCUUUAAUGACCGCCCGUCAAGGAGCGCGGAGCGCGUAACACCUCGCAUCGCUAUCC
rnacentral:rRNA from 1 species